rnacentral:rRNA from 1 species
UACGAGGGGAGCAAGCGUUGUUCGGAUUUACUGGGCGUAAAGGGCGCGUAGGCGGCGUGACUAGUCACUUGUGAAAUCUCCGGGCUUAACUCGGAACGGUCAAGUGAUACUGUCGUGCUAGAGUACAGAAGGGGCAACUGGAAUUCUCGGUGUAGCGGUGAAAUGCGUAGAUAUCGAGAGGAACACCUGCGGCGAAGGCGGGUUGCUGGGCUGAUACUGACGCUGAGGAGCGAAAGCGUGGGGAGCGAACAGG